UCAAGAUUUCUGGAAUGAUUCUUGGUCAAAAUCUAUAUGGCCUCUGGAUUGGACUGCGGCCGAUCAGGCUGUUGGUGAGGUAAUGGCCCACCAAACCUAUAACCGGUACGGGCUCUGAGAGGAGAAGCCCGGAGAUGGGCACUGAGACAAGGGCCCAGGCCCUAUGGGGCGCAGCAGGCGCGAAACCUUUGCAAUAGGCGAAAGCCUGACAAGGUUACUCUGAGUGAUUUCCGCUAAGGGGAUCUUUUGACACCUCUAAAAAUGGUGUAGAAUAAGGGGUGGGCAAGUCUGGUGUCAGCCGCCGCGGUAAUACCAGCACCCCGAGUGGUCGGGACGAUUAUUGGGCCUAAAGCAUCCGUAGCCGGUUUUACAAGUCUUCCGUUAAAUCCAGCCGCUCAACGGAUGGGCUGCGGAGGAUACUGUAGAACUAGGAGGCGGGAGAGGCAAGCGGUACUUAGUGGGUAGGGGUAAAAUCCACUGAUCCAUUGAAGA
rnacentral:rRNA from 1 species